UACGAAGGGGGCUAGCGUUGUUCGGAGUCACUGGGCGUAAAGCGCACGUAGGCGGAUGUGCCAGUCAGGGGUGAAAUCCCGGAGCUCAACUCCGGAACUGCCUCUGAUACAGCACGUCUUGAGUUCGAGAGAGGUGGGUGGAAUUCCUAGUGUAGAGGUGAAAUUCGUAGAUAUUAGGAAGAACACCGGUGGCGAAGGCGGCCCACUGGCUCGAUACUGACGCUGAGGUGCGAAAGCGUGGGGAGCAAACAGG
rnacentral:rRNA from 1 species